AUUGAACGCUGGCGGCAUGCUUUACACAUGCAAGUCGAACGGCCGCGCGGGGCAACCUGGCGGCGAGUGGCGAACGGGUGAGUAAUACAUCGGAACGUACCCAGAAGUGGGGGAUAACGUAGCGAAAGUUACGCUAAUACCGCAUACGUUCUACGGAAGAAAGUGGGGGACCUUCGGGCCUCAUGCUUUUGGAGCGGCCGAUGUCUGAUUAGCUAGUUGGUAGGGUAAAGGCCUACCAAGGCGACGAUCAGUAGCUGGUCUGAGAGGACGACCAGCCACACUGGGACUGAGACACGGCCCAGACUCCUACGGGAGGCAGCAGUGGGGAAUUUUGGACAAUGGGCGCAAGCCUGAUCCAGCAAUGCCGCGUGAGUGAAGAAGGCCUUCGGGUUGUAAAGCUCUUUUGUCAGGGAAGAAACGGCUGAGGUUAAUACCUUCGGCUAAUGACGGUACCUGAAGAAUAAGCACCGGCUAACUACGUGCCAGCAGCCGCGGUAA
rnacentral:rRNA from 1 species